AUACAGAGGGUGCGAGCGUUAAUCGGACUUACUGGGCGUAAAGGGCGCGUAGGUUGUUAUUUAAGUUAGAGGUGAAACACCUAGGCUCAACCUAGGCCGUGCCUAUGAAACUGAAUAACUAGAGGGAAGUAGAGGGAAGCGGAAUUUCCGGUGUAGCGGUGAAAUGCGUAGAUAUCGGAAGGAACACCAGUUGCGAAGGCGGCUUUCUGGACUUUUACUGACACUGAGGCGCGAAAGCGUGGGGAGCGAACAGGAUUAGAAACCCCGGUAGUCC
rnacentral:rRNA from 1 species